rnacentral:rRNA from 1 species
AUUGAACGCUGGCGGCAUGCCUUACACAUGCAAGUCGAACGGUAACGGGCCUUCGGGUGCCGACGAGUGGCGAACGGGUGAGUAAUGCAUCGGAACGUACCUUUCAGUGGGGGAUAACGUAGCGAAAGUUACGCUAAUACCGCAUAUUCUGUGAGCAGGAAAGCAGGGGAUCGCAAGACCUUGCGCUGAUUGAGCGGCCGAUGUCAGAUUAGCUAGUUGGUGAGGUAAAGGCUCACCAAGGCGACGAUCUGUAGCGGGUCUGAGAGGAUGAUCCGCCACACUGGAACUGAGACACGGUCCAGACUCCUACGGGAGGCAGCAGUGGGGAAUUUUGGACAAUGGGCGCAAGCCUGAUCCAGCCAUGCCGCGUGAGUGAAGAAGGCCU